rnacentral:rRNA from 1 species
UACGAAGGGGGCUAGCGUUGCUCGGAAUCACUGGGCGUAAAGCGCACGUAGGCGGAUCUUUAAGUCAGGGGUGAAAUCCUGGAGCUCAACUCCAGAACUGCCUUUGAUACUGGGGAUCUCGAGUCCGGAAGAGGUGAGUGGAACUCCGAGUGUAGAGGUGAAAUUCGUAGAUAUUCGGCAAGAACACCAGUGGCGAAGGCGGCUCACUGGCCCGGAUACUGACGCUGAGGCACGAAAGCGUGGGGAGCAAACAGG